CCACUCUUUGCAGGAGGCAGUUAUGAGACGUGAAGAUGAGUAUCUUGUAAAGAGGGAUAGGAGAAUUGGAGGGCAAGUUUGGUGCCAGCAGCCGCGGUAAUACCGACUCCAAGAGUGUGUAUGAGAGAUGCUGCAGUUAAAAAGUCCGUAGUCAUAGAAGGGCAAAGAGAGAUGCGAGGUCUCACAGUGCGAUGAUGGAGGAGCCGAUGGGGAACAUAGUAUACCAGGGCGAGAGAUGAAAUGCCAAGACCCCUGGUGGACUGAGCGAGGCGAAGGCGAUGUUCUUGUAGGCAUUCGGUGAUCAAGGACGAAGGCUGGAGUAUCGAAAGUGAUUAGAUACCGCAGUAGUUCCAGCAGUAAAAGAUGCCGACAUGCUCAUUGGACACAGUGGGCAGGGAGAAAUCUUAGAGUUCGGGCUCUGGGGAUAGUAUGCUCGCAAGGGUGAAAAUUAAAGAAAUUGACGGAGCUACACCACAAGGAGUGGAUUGUGCGGCUUAAUUUGACUCAACGCGAGGAAACUUACCAGGGCCAAGUAUUGUGUAGAAACGAGCAAUACAGGAGUGGUGCAUGGUCGUUGGAAAUUGAUGGGAUGACUUUGACCUUAAAUGGUUGAAUGAGUGAGAUCUUUUGGACAUGUUCCGCACGGAACAGGAAGGAAAAGGCUAUAACAGAUCCGAGAUGCCCUCAGAUGCCCUGGGCUGCACGCGCAAUACAAUAGCAGGUAGAGAGAGAGACAGGAAGGUGCUCAGAUGGACUAUGUGCUGUAAGGCACAUACGAAAGAGGAAUUCCUAGUAAGUGUGUAUCAACA
rnacentral:rRNA from 1 species